rnacentral:rRNA from 2 species
GGGUUGUGAGGUUAAGCGACUAAGCGUACACGGUGGAUGCCCUGGCAGUCAGAGGCGAUGAAGGACGUGCUAAUCUGCGAUAAGCGUCGGUAAGGUGAUAUGAACCGUUAUAACCGGCGAUUUCCGAAUGGGGAAACCCAGUGUGUUUCGACACACUAUCAUUAACUGAAUCCAUAGGUUAAUGAGGCGAACCGGGGGAACUGAAACAUCUAAGUACCCCGAGGAAAAGAAAUCAACCGAGAUUCCCCCAGUAGCGGCGAGCGAACGGGGAGGAGCCCAGAGCCUGAAUCAGUGUGUGUGUUAGUGGAAGCGUCUGGAAAGGCGCGCGAUACAGGGUGACAGCCCCGUACACAAAAAUGCACAUGCUGUGAGCUCGAUGAGUAGGGCGGGACACGUGGUAUCCUGUCUGAAUAUGGGGGGACCAUCCUCCAAGGCUAAAUACUCCUGACUGACCGAUAGUGAACCAGUACCGUGAGGGAAAGGCGAAAAGAACCCCGGCGAGGGGAGUGAAAAAGAACCUGAAACCGUGUACGUACAAGCAGUGGGAGCACGCUUAGGCGUGUGACUGCGUACCUUUUGUAUAAUGGGUCAGCGACUUAUAUUCUGUAGCAAGGUUAACCGAAUAGGGGAGCCGAAGGGAAACCGAGUCUUAACUGGGCGUUAAGUUGCAGGGUAUAGACCCGAAACCCGGUGAUCUAGCCAUGGGCAGGUUGAAGGUUGGGUAACACUAACUGGAGGACCGAACCGACUAAUGUUGAAAAAUUAGCGGAUGACUUGUGGCUGGGGGUGAAAGGCCAAUCAAACCGGGAGAUAGCUGGUUCUCCCCGAAAGCUAUUUAGGUAGCGCCUCGUGAAUUCAUCUCCGGGGGUAGAGCACUGUUUCGGCAAGGGGGUCAUCCCGACUUACCAACCCGAUGCAAACUGCGAAUACCGGAGAAUGUUAUCACGGGAGACACACGGCGGGUGCUAACGUCCGUCGUGAAGAGGGAAACAACCCAGACCGCCAGCUAAGGUCCCAAAGUCAUGGUUAAGUGGGAAACGAUGUGGGAAGGCCCAGACAGCCAGGAUGUUGGCUUAGAAGCAGCCAUCAUUUAAAGAAAGCGUAAUAGCUCACUGGUCGAGUCGGCCUGCGCGGAAGAUGUAACGGGGCUAAACCAUGCACCGAAGCUGCGGCAGCGACGCUUAUGCGUUGUUGGGUAGGGGAGCGUUCUGUAAGCCUGUGAAGGUGUACUGUGAGGUAUGCUGGAGGUAUCAGAAGUGCGAAUGCUGACAUAAGUAACGAUAAAGCGGGUGAAAAGCCCGCUCGCCGGAAGACCAAGGGUUCCUGUCCAACGUUAAUCGGGGCAGGGUGAGUCGACCCCUAAGGCGAGGCCGAAAGGCGUAGUCGAUGGGAAACAGGUUAAUAUUCCUGUACUUGGUGUUACUGCGAAGGGGGGACGGAGAAGGCUAUGUUGGCCGGGCGACGGUUGUCCCGGUUUAAGCGUGUAGGCUGGUUUUCCAGGCAAAUCCGGAAAAUCAAGGCUGAGGCGUGAUGACGAGGCACUACGGUGCUGAAGCAACAAAUGCCCUGCUUCCAGGAAAAGCCUCUAAGCAUCAGGUAACAUCAAAUCGUACCCCAAACCGACACAGGUGGUCAGGUAGAGAAUACCAAGGCGCUUGAGAGAACUCGGGUGAAGGAACUAGGCAAAAUGGUGCCGUAACUUCGGGAGAAGGCACGCUGAUAUGUAGGUGAAGUCCCUCGCGGAUGGAGCUGAAAUCAGUCGAAGAUACCAGCUGGCUGCAACUGUUUAUUAAAAACACAGCACUGUGCAAACACGAAAGUGGACGUAUACGGUGUGACGCCUGCCCGGUGCCGGAAGGUUAAUUGAUGGGGUUAGCGCAAGCGAAGCUCUUGAUCGAAGCCCCGGUAAACGGCGGCCGUAACUAUAACGGUCCUAAGGUAGCGAAAUUCCUUGUCGGGUAAGUUCCGACCUGCACGAAUGGCGUAAUGAUGGCCAGGCUGUCUCCACCCGAGACUCAGUGAAAUUGAACUCGCUGUGAAGAUGCAGUGUACCCGCGGCAAGACGGAAAGACCCCGUGAACCUUUACUAUAGCUUGACACUGAACAUUGAGCCUUGAUGUGUAGGAUAGGUGGGAGGCUUUGAAGUGUGGACGCCAGUCUGCAUGGAGCCGACCUUGAAAUACCACCCUUUAAUGUUUGAUGUUCUAACGUUGACCCGUAAUCCGGGUUGCGGACAGUGUCUGGUGGGUAGUUUGACUGGGGCGGUCUCCUCCUAAAGAGUAACGGAGGAGCACGAAGGUUGGCUAAUCCUGGUCGGACAUCAGGAGGUUAGUGCAAUGGCAUAAGCCAGCUUGACUGCGAGCGUGACGGCGCGAGCAGGUGCGAAAGCAGGUCAUAGUGAUCCGGUGGUUCUGAAUGGAAGGGCCAUCGCUCAACGGAUAAAAGGUACUCCGGGGAUAACAGGCUGAUACCGCCCAAGAGUUCAUAUCGACGGCGGUGUUUGGCACCUCGAUGUCGGCUCAUCACAUCCUGGGGCUGAAGUAGGUCCCAAGGGUAUGGCUGUUCGCCAUUUAAAGUGGUACGCGAGCUGGGUUUAGAACGUCGUGAGACAGUUCGGUCCCUAUCUGCCGUGGGCGCUGGAGAACUGAGGGGGGCUGCUCCUAGUACGAGAGGACCGGAGUGGACGCAUCACUGGUGUUCGGGUUGUCAUGCCAAUGGCACUGCCCGGUAGCUAAAUGCGGAAGAGAUAAGUGCUGAAAGCAUCUAAGCACGAAACUUGCCCCGAGAUGAGUUCUCCCUGACCCUUUAAGGGUCCUGAAGGAACGUUGAAGACGACGACGUUGAUAGGCCGGGUGUGUAAGCGCAGCGAUGCGUUGAGCUAACCGGUACUAAUGAACCGUGAGGCUUAACCUUACAACGCCGAAGGUGUUU